UUGUGUCCUGUGUCAGCCUGGAGUGUCCUGAGUCAGCCUGGGCUUUCCAGUGUCAUCGUCGGGCAUCCUGAGUCAGCCUCUGGUGUCCUGUGUCAUCCUGGGGUGUCCUGUGUCAUCCUGGGGUGUCCUGUGUCAUCCUGGGGUGUCCUGUGUCAUCCUUUGUUUUCCUGAGUAAUCCCUGGGUAUCCUGAGUCAGCCUGGGUUCUCCUGAGUCAUCAUGGAGAGUCCUGAUUUUUCCGGGGAUAUCCUGUCUAAGACUGGGUGUCGUGUGUCAUCCUAGGGUGUCCUGUGUCAGCCUAGGUUGUCCUGAGUCAGGCUGGAGUGUCUUAUGUCAGUCUGUGGUGUCCUGUGUCUUCCUUGGGUGUCCCGUGUCAUCCUUGGGUGUCCUGUGUCAUGCUGGGGUGUCCUGAGUAGGCUGGGGUAUCCUGUGUCAUCCUGGAGUGUUCUGAUUCAUCCUGGGGAGUCUUGAUUCAUCCUGGGGUAUCCUGUGUAAGACUGGGUGUCCUGUGUCAUCCUCGGGUGUCCUGUGUCAGCCUGGGUUUUCCUGAGUUAUCCUUGGGUGUCCUGAGUCAUCUUGGGGUGUCCUGAGUAACUCUGAGGUGUCCAGAGUCAUCCUGUUGUGUCCUGCGUCAGCCUGGUGUGUCAUCAAUCAGCCUUGGGUGUCCUGUGUCAGCCUGGGGUGUCCUGUGUCAGCGUGGGGUGUCCUGAUCACUCUGGAGUGUCCUGAGUCAGCCUGUGAUGUCCUUUGUCAGCAGGGGGACUCCUGUGUCAAACUUGGAUGUCCUGAGUCUGCCUGGUUUUUCCUUAUCCAGCCUGUUGCAUCCUGUGUCAUCCAGGGGAUUCCUGGGUCAUCCUGGGGUAUCCUGAGUCAUCCUGGGGUGUCCUUAGUCAGCCUGGGGAUUCCUGAUUCAGUCUGGGGUGUCCAGAGUCAGCCUGGGGAUUCCUGAUUCAGUCUGGGGUGUCCAGAGUCAGCCUGGGGAUUCCUGAUUCAGUCUGGGGUGUCCAGAGUCAGCCUGGGGAUUCCUGAUUCAGUCUGGGGUGUCCAGAGUCAGCCUGGGGUGUCCUGAGUCAGCCUUGUGUGUCCUGUCUCUCCCUGCGUUGUCCUGUGUCAUUGUGGGGAGUCCUG
rnacentral:lncRNA from 1 species